GACGAACGCUGGCGGCGUGCCUAAUACAUGCAAGUAGAACGCACAGUUUAUACCGUAGCUUGCUACACCAUAGACUGUGAGUUGCGAACGGGUGAGUAACGCGUAGGUAACCUGCCUGGUAGCGGGGGAUAACUAUUGGAAACGAUAGCUAAUACCGCAUAAUAUUAAUUAUUGCAUGAUAAUUAAUUGAAAGGUGCAAUUGCACCACUACCAGAUGGACCUGCGUUGUAUUAGCUAGUAGGUGAGGUAACGGCUCACCUAGGCGACGAUACAUAGCCGACCUGAGAGGGUGAUCGGCCACACUGGGACUGAGACACGGCCCAGACUCCUACGGGAGGCAGCAGUAGGGUAUCUUCGGCAAUGGACGAAAGUCUGACCGAGCAACGCCGCGUGAGUGAAGAAGGUUUUCGGAUCGUAAAGCUCUGUUGUAAGAGAAGAACGGGUGUGAGAGUGGAAAGUUCACACUGUGACGGUAUCUUACCAGAAAGGGACGGCUAACUACGUG
rnacentral:rRNA from 1 species